AUUAUUUCAUAUAAAAGCCCCUGAGAAUUCUCCUCCCAGCACAGGAGCAGAGAAGGAGAUCUGUGUGAGACAAUGGGAGCUAUUGUAGCAUUCGCAGUGUUGCUGGGAACUUUAUCCUACAGUCACUGUGUUGAACUCACACAGCCAGACUCUAUGGUAGUAACACCAGGACAGCCUUUAACCAUCUCCUGUAAAGUCUCAUAUUCACUGAGCAGCUAUAAUACACACUGGAUCCGCCACCCUGCAGGGAAAGCUCUGGAGUGGAUUGGGUAUAUAGGCACGGGUGGAGGCACGAGUUAUAAAGAUUCACUGAAGAACAAGUUCACCAUCUCCAGAGACACCUCCAGCAGCACAGUGUCUUUACACGGGAGCAGCCUGCAGACUGGAGACACAGCUGUGUAUUACUGUGCCCGAGACACACAGUGCAGCAAAGCUACAGCAGGGCUGUACAAAAACCCACCCUGAUGAGUGUAGUGGUAGAACACAAACAUUGAAGAGCUCAGUGAAGUCUGCACCCCAUAUAACCAGAACAUUAAUUAAAAUGUGUAAAUGGCAUACCGGUUUGGGACCUGUGUUUGGAACUGAGAAGUUCUAGGUUCGAUUCCCA